rnacentral:rRNA from 1 species
CCUACGGGGGGCAGCAGUGGGGAAUAUUGGACAAUGGGGGGAACCCUGAUCCAGCCAUACCGCGUGUGUGAAGAAGGCCCUCGGGUUGUAAAGCACUUUCAGUGAGGAAGAACGCCUGGUGGUUAAUACCCAUCAGGAAAGACAUCACUCACAGAAGAAGCACCGGCUAACUCCGUGCCAGCAGCCGCGGUAAUACGGAGGGUGCGAGCGUUAAUCGGAAUUACUGGGCGUAAAGCGCGCGUAGGUGGCUUGAUAAGCCGGUUGUGAAAGCCCCGGGCUCAACCUGGGAACGGCAUCCGGAACUGUCAAGCUAGAGUGCAGGAGAGGAAGGUAGAAUUCCCGGUGUAGCGGUGAAAUGCGUAGAGAUCGGGAGGAAUACCAGUGGCGAAGGCGGCCUUCUGGACUGACACUGACACUGAGGUGCGAAAGCGUGGGUAGCAAACAGGAUUAGCUACCCUUGUAGUC